GCAAGGGUUGCGUAUGAGCUGGGUUUGAUUAGGUCGCACAAUGCGGUGAGGAAUUUCGUUGCGCCCUCUCAGGAGCUAUCACCCGUUCGUGCUGUGCUCGAAGGUAAGCGUGUUGUGGUUGUGGAUGAUUCCAUUGUGAGAGGAACCACCUCGUCCAAGAUAGUUAAUUAGGUUGUUGAAGGAGGCUGGUGCUAAGGAAGUACACAUGAGAAUUGCGAGUUCUUGUUACUAUGGUGUGGAUAUACUCUCGAAUAAGAUGAGUGUGGAGGAGAUAAUAGACUUUAUUGGAACGGAUUCACUUGUCUUUUGAUCUGGGAAUUAUGCUAUGGAUCCCAAAGAGACUUGAGAAUGAUCCGGUGAAGAGGGUUCGGUACUUACAAUUAGGAAAUUACUAUUAAAAUUUAUUCAGUUACUCAUUUCCAAUUUUAUUUGUUAAUUUGUUCAUCAUUCAUGGUACCAUAUACGUUUUAUUGUUUUUUUUUUUCAUAUUUAUAGAAAUUAUUAUUUAUUUCAUUUAAAAAAUUAAAUUAAUAAAGGAAAUUUGUUACCAUUGUGUAAUAUCUUGUUCCAAAUAUAAUAGUAAUAUGCUUUUAUUUUUAAUUCUGGAUCAAAGAUUAUGGAUGUGUGAUUAUCGAGAAUUUUGCAUAUCGAAAAAAUUGAAAUAAAAAAUAAAUAAUUUUUUUAAUUAAAUCAUUCUUAUUAAUUGUUGUUGAGAAGAUAAUAAAACAGAAAUUAUUUUUCCAGGAAUAAAAUGAACAUGCAUAGUAACUAUAUAUAAUGUAUUUUUAAAAAAGAUAAAUUAUUAUUAUUCGCAUCAUUAAUAAUGUACUACAUAACUUUAUUUAAUUUGAUUGAAUGCACAAUAAAUUAUAUUAUAAUGGAUGAUUCACUUACAAUUUAUUUGGAUUUUUAAUUUCAUAACAAAUUAUUUUUUGUGCGAGCCUUAUAAUUUGUUUAUUAUAUAUAGGUUAGGGAUAAAAAAACCUCAAAGCGAGAAAUCAAAAGUAAUUACAUUAUUGGGGUGUGAAAAAAUUGAGAUUGAAGAUUGGUAUGUUGUGAAGAGAGAAAAUCAAUCGCAUUGAAGAUUGAUUGCUAGGGUGUGGAGAAAAAUGCGAAUGGAGAUUGCUGUAAUUGAAUGAAUAUGUUUGGGACAAACACAUUUUCCUUCGCUGGAAAGAAAGGGCGCCACUCUAGUUGCCGCGGAAAACAAAUAUACUACAAAGUAUCGUCGAUUACAUACCCACAUUGUAUUUGGCUUAACGUCGGAUUUUACUAACCGUCGAUAAUAAACCACUGGUAGAAACCGGAUUUUUUUUAGUGUAUUUUAAUACCAAUUAAUUUAUUUUAGUUUAUAAAAAAAUUAAAUAUAUUGAGAACAAAAUAUGAGUACACAUCGCCCUCAAUUUAAUGUAUAUUGUAUAAAGUGCUACAUAUCCCCACUUUAACAAAUUCAUAAAAAAAACUCAAGAGUUUAAAGAAAAUUGGUAUUUAUCAUAAUAUAUUAUCCAACCAUACAUUUAAAUGGAAUAGUUCUAGUUUAAUGUAAUCUUUUAUCACGUAAAACUUUUUUCAUCUCAACCAAAAUACUUUGGGACCCGUGAUUGCUGGCAUAGCUUGCUUAAAACACAUAUAUUUAAUAAAAAAGGCAAAUGUUAAAUAUUAGAUAUUAAGGAAAUUAUUUGAAUGUAUUUCGGAAGAAUGAAUAAAAAGGUAGAAGCUUACUUAAAGAAAGAAGAUACGAAAAAAGAUGAAACUAUAAAAUAAAAUAAAAAGACAAAUGAAUUCAACAAAUAAAAAGACAAAAGAAGUAUACAAUAUAAGAUGAGGCAAUUAAAAAAAUUCCAAAUUUCAUAGAUUUAAUAGGCAACGCUCACUCGACAAAAUAUUUAUAAGACAUGUUUAAUAUUUUAAAAAAAACAAUUGAAUUUUCAAAUCAUAAAUAUUAUUAAUUACCUUAAUUUGAAUGUGCUGUUAUUUUGAAUCAAAAUGUUAGGAUAUAUAUUAAUUAAUACUAUUUGAAUCAAAUUAUACAUUGAUCAUAAUUUCCUUAAACUUGAUUAAGGAAAAAUCAUUCAAUUUUUUAAAUUCAGAUGAACAAUUCCUUUUUCUAUUGAGAAAAUGAGUGUUUUUGAAUGGGGAUUACGUCAAACACUAACAUGUGACAAAAUUACAUCAUAAGUGACACUUAUCAAAAGUGAAUUGAAAAUGUAUAGUUUAGAAUAGCUAUGUUGUAUGGGACUGUUUUUACUUUUUAGUUGUCAUUCUUCAACGAGAUUGUUUUUAUUUUUUUUACUAUAAUGUUUUUAUGCUUUAAGUAUGUGUCUUAGUUUUUUUUUUAUCUCUUUUAAUAUCUUUAACUUUAAUAUUUUUUAAAUAAUAUCAAUAAUUAAAAAUAAUAUUGUAUCAUAAUAUAAAUCAUUUAUGAUAAAUAUAAAAUAUAAUUUAAAUAUUAAAAAAUGUUUUUUUAUUGUAAAUGUUAAAAAUAUUUAAUAUAAAUUUAGUUAUAUAAAAUAAAUAUUUAUUUUAUGCAAUGCACAGACUAAAAUAUUAUUGUAUAUAUUUUAUAGGAAUUAUUGGUAUUUAUUUAAGAGUAUUUGUGCUAUUGUAUUAAUAUAUAUUUUCGUUUCAUAUACUUUUAUUUUCAUUCACAUUCUCUCAUGUCAAAUAACUAUAAAUUAGUCCCACUUUUAGCCAAAAAAAAAAAAAAAACUUAUACUUUUUUAUUCUUCCUUUUACUUUACUUCCAUCUACUUUCCCUGAUAAACCAAAUAUAGUAGAGUAUAAAAUUCAUUAUUCGUAAGUGAAUAAAAAAAAUAGUUUUUGUAAAAUGAAUACACACAUUUCACAGAAUAAAGUAUAUUUAUAAUCAUUAAUUUAUUUAUUUUAAUUAAUGAAUGAUAAUAAUAACAAAAAAUUAUUUAAAUAACUAAUAGUAAUUUUUAAUAGUGGAGUCACUUCCAUUGGAUUGAGGAAGAGCCAAAUUCAAAAUUAUUCUCUAAAUAGUACUAGUACAUGACAUGGCGCAAAUGCGAGCAAUUUGGCAUUAGAAGAAAUCACUACCUAUAUUUAUAUUUGAGGAGAAAGUUGGAAAAAAAAGUGAUUUCAAGUCCCAAAACCUAGAAGAAGGUAUUAUGGCCGCAGCAGCAGCAGCAACCACUCUCUCCUCUUCCCUUUCCAAACCCUCCUCUCUUACUUUCCAAACCCACUCUUUCCCCAUAACCCUACCCACUCCCCCUCGCGCCGCCGCCAAACCCCCUCUUCUCGUCUUCUCCAAAAACCCAAUUUCCGACAUCGUCUCCUCCACCUUCUCACGCGCCGAAGAAGGCGCGUGGGACGACGAGAAGCCGCGCGAGGAGUGCGGCGUGGUCGGCAUAUACGGCGACCCUGAGGCCUCGCGCCUCUGCUACCUUGCCCUCCACGCGCUCCAGCAUCGCGGCCAAGAAGGCGCCGGAAUCGUCACCGUCAACAACAACGUCCUCCAAUCCAUCACCGGCGUUGGCCUCGUCUCCGAAGUCUUCAACCAAUCAAAACUCGACCAGCUCCCCGGCAGCCUCUCCAUCGGCCACGUCCGCUACUCCACCGCCGGCCAAUCCAUGCUCAAAAACGUCCAGCCCUUUGUCGCCGGUUACCGCUUCGGCUCCGUCGGCGUGGCCCACAACGGCAACCUCGUCAACUAUAAGACCCUCCGAACCAACCUCGAAGACAACGGCUCCAUCUUCAACACCACCUCUGACACCGAGGUUGUCCUCCACCUCAUCGCCACCUCCAAACACAGACCCUUCAUUCUUCGAAUCGUUGACGCCUGUGAAAAGCUCGAAGGGGCUUAUUCUAUUGUUUUCGUCACCGAGGACAAGCUUGUCGCCGUUCGAGACCCUUUCGGGUUUAGGCCUUUGGUUAUGGGGAGAAGGAGCAACGGUGCUGUUGUUUUCGCUUCUGAAACCUGCGCGCUUGACCUAAUUGAAGCGACUUAUGAAAGGGAGGUUUACCCUGGUGAGGUUCUUGUGGUGGAUAAAAACGGUAUUCAGAGUCUCUGCCUCAUGUCUCAUCCUCAACCAAAACAAUGCAUUUUUGAACAUAUUUACUUUGCACUUCCCAAUUCGGUUGUUUUUGGGAGGUCUGUGUAUGAGUCUCGUAGACAAUUUGGGGAGAUUUUGGCUACUGAAAGUCCUGUGGAGUGUGAUGUUGUGAUUGCUGUGCCUGACUCUGGUGUUGUGGCUGCGCUUGGUUAUGCUGCGAAAGCUGGGGUUCCGUUUCAGCAGGGUUUGAUUAGGUCGCACUAUGUGGGGAGGACUUUCAUUGAGCCCUCUCAGAAGAUUAGGGACUUUGGUGUGAAGCUGAAGCUAUCACCUGUUCGUGCUGUGCUUGAAGGUAAACGUGUUGUGGUUGUGGAUGAUUCCAUUGUGAGAGGAACCACCUCGUCCAAGAUUGUUAGGCUGUUGAAGGAGGCUGGUGCUAAGGAGGUUCACAUGAGGAUUGCGAGUCCUCCGAUUAUUGGUUCUUGUUACUAUGGUGUGGAUACUCCUAGCUCUGAGGAGUUGAUUUCGAAUAGGAUGAGUGUGGAGGA
rnacentral:lncRNA from 1 species